GUGUAGCUCAGUGGUAGAACAUCUGCUUUGCAUGCAGAAGGACAUAAGCUCAAUUUCUGGCAUCACCA